rnacentral:rRNA from 1 species
CAAGUCGAACGGUAACAGGUCUUCGGAUGCUGACGAGUGGCGAACGGGUGAGUAAUACAUCGGAACGUGCCCAGUAAUGGGGGAUAGCUCGGCGAAAGCCGGAUUAAUACCGCAUACGCCCUGAGGGGGAAAGUGGGGGACCGCAAGGCCUCACGUUAUUGGAGCGGCCGAUGGCUGAUUAGCUAGUUGGUAGGGUAAAGGCCUACCAAGGCGACGAUCAGUAGCUGGUCUGAGAGGACGAUCAGCCACACUGGGACUGAGACACGGCCCAGACUCCUACGGGAGGCAGCAGUGGGGAAUUUUGGACAAUGGGGGAAACCCUGAUCCAGCAAUGCCGCGUGUGCGAAGAAGGCCUUCGGGUUGUAAAGCACUUUUGUCAGGGAAGAAAUCCUUUGGGAUAAUACCCCAGGGGGAUGACGGUACCUGAAGAAUAAGCACCGGCUAACUACGUGCCAGCAGCCGCGGUAAUACGUAGGGUGCAAGCGUUAAUCGGAAUUACUGGGCGUAAAGCGUGCGCAGGCGGUUGUGUAAGACAGGUGUGAAAUCCCCGGGCUUAACCUGGGAAUUGCAUUUGUGACUGCACGACUAGAGUGUGUCAGAGGGGGGUGGAAUUCCACGUGUAGCAGUGAAAUGCGUAGAUAUGUGGAGGAACACCAAUGGCGAAGGCAGCCCCCUGGGAUAACACUGACGCUCAUGCACGAAAGCGUGGGGAGCAAACAGGAUUAGAUACCCUGGUAGUCCACGCCCUAAACGAUGUCAACUAGUUGUUGGGGAUUUACUUCCUUGGUAACGUAGCUAACGCGUGAAGUUGACCGCCUGGGGAGUACGGCCGCAAGGUUAAAACUCAAAGGAAUUGACGGG